GAGCAACCUCUUCGAGAACUUCCACAUUGACCGCAUUCAAAGCCUUCAGAUUGACAAAUAUGAGAGCAAUGGUGGUGGCUUAUGCAAAAUCUCUGUCCCUUUGACCUCUGAUACCUCCUUCCCUCAGUAGCUGAACUUUGGGGUGCCAUGGAAGGUUUAAAGCUGGCUUGGGAGCAAGGUUUGAGG